CCGAAACAAAGAAGUCCAAGAGUUUCAGGGAGUUGCCUCCCCUUCAGGAAGAAGGGAAGAGAAACAACUUGUCAGUUGAAGUGCUGAUCCAUUUCACCUAUGCAAACAGGAAAGGAGUGAAGAAACAAUGAGAAUGUAGAUCUAGAAGUAGCCUGCUACUAAGCUACUCAACUGACCUGAAUAUCACCUACACAUGGACUUCAGAAUUGCCUUUCUGUGGCCAGGAUUAAAUGCAGCCAAGCAAGAGUGCCUGAACAGAUCGAGCUUUAAUGUUCAGAUCUGUAACAGCGAGGUUCCAGUACGCCCUUUUUUUUGUGCCCCACAGACAAAAAAGCACUACCGUUCUACAACCACACACUUCGCCCAUCUGAGAGGUGAACAAAACAGCAUGGCUAUUGGAAGAGCAGCAUAAAGAUAAAAGAACGUAGGUGAUAUCAAUUUAAGCUAUCUACAUUUAGGUUAAAAGAAAACUUCAGGCUAGAAAAAAAUUAUUUCACACGUGCAUAAUAGAACGAGCUUAACUGGAGAAUUCUUUAGGGGAACCGAUGAACUGAAAACCAUUUAAGGAGCGGUCACAAUGCUUGCUAAAGGGAUGCUUUCAAGAAAAAAGUUGUUUUCCCAAGUUUUUCCCCCAAUGAGUUUAAAAUUCAAUGGAAAUAAGUAUUCAAUCAGAGUGAACAUUA